rnacentral:rRNA from 1 species
CAUUAAAGAAUCGCCCCGUUUUUUGAAAUGGGUUCUAUUCCCAAACCGUGUAUACAUACCUUUGUUGCUUUGGCAGGCCGCCUUUUAGGCGUCGGCUCCGGCUGACUGCGCCUGCCAGAGGACCCAAACUCUUUUGUUUAGUGAUGUCUGAGUACUAUAUAAUAGUUAAAACUUUCAACAACGGAUCUCUUGGUUCUGGCAUCGAUGAAGAACGCAGCGAAAUGCGAUAAGUAAUGUGAAUUGCAGAAUUCAGUGAAUCAUCGAAUCUUUGAACGCACAUUGCGCCCCUUGGUAUUCCGAGGGGCAUGCCUGUUCGAGCGUCAUUAUAACCACUCAAGCCUUGGCUUGGUCUUGGGGUUCGCGGUUUCGCGGCCCUUAAAAUCAGUGGCGGUGCCGUUUGGCUCUAAGCGUAGUAAUUCUCUCGCUAUAGGGUCCAGGUGACCACCUGCCAGAACCCCCCAUUCUUUACGGUUG